GACGAACGCUGGCGGCGUGCUUAACACAUGCAAGUCGAACGGAAAGGCCCUGCUUUUGUGGGGUGCUCGAGUGGCGAACGGGUGAGUAACACGUGAGUAACCUGCCCUUGACUUUGGGAUAACUUCAGGAAACUGGGGCUAAUACCGGAUAGGAGCUCCUGCUGCAUGGUGGGGGUUGGAAAGUUUCGGCGGUUGGGGCUGGACUCGCGGCUUAUCAGCUUGUUGGUGGGGUAGUGGCUUACCAAGGCUUUGACGGGUAGCCGGCCUGAGAGGGUGACCGGCCACGUUGGGACUGAGAUGCGGCCCAGACGCCUACGGGGGGCAGCAGUGGGGAAUAUUGCACAAUGGGCGGAAGCGUGAUGCAGCAACGCCGCGUGCGGGAUGACGGCCUUCGGGUUGUAAACCGCUUUCGCCUGUGACGAAGCGUGAGUGACGGUAAUGGGUAAAGAAGCACCGGCUAACUACGU
rnacentral:rRNA from 1 species